UGAGUGGAAAGGAACUAUUUCAGCCACCACACCCCGUGAACGGGAGCUGAGGCGAACCCUGCAGGAUCCGCCGCGGAGGUGAGCUCCAGGCGCCAGUAAAGAGAGCCCCGCCCACCAGGAGGAGCCCAGCACCAGCACACAGCCCCAGCCGCCCGGGAGAAAGAAUGAAGAGUCAAUUUCUACAAAGGACAUUAAAGAAAAGCUGCAAUUUGCUAUUGCUGAAUGGAAAGUUCCAAUAUGUGCGGACUUGGUGUGCAGAUACUGGGGUGAGCUUUUUGUAUGAAGUGUUGGAGGAACUGGGUCUACAAUUUCACUCGCAGGUCACCAGGCCACAAAAAGUCACAUCUGGACCCGGCAAAGCGGCGCGGGGACCACCAGUAGACCCUGAACUGGAGAUACAGAUAUGAAAACCAGUGGGGCUCCCUGAGUCUCUCUUCUGGCCCGGGGAGAUGGGGAGAGAGUCUCUGCAUGACAGCAUGAUGCUGCAUAUGGACAGAAGAUGAACUUAAAUAGUGAGGAGCAAAAGGGGUGGGAUGUAUGGCUCCCAAGUCCAUUUUUCCUCAAAUCCACUCCUUGCCCUUCCCUGUCUUUGCUCUGCAUUGUAGGCAGCUGACCUCUGUUAAGUCGCAUGCUCAGGCUGAUUUCUGAAAGACUGAAGGGCAGAGGAGGGGAGGAAUAAGCCAGGCUACUUCUAUCUCAGGAACUUCUCUGGCAGUCACGGCAUCCCCUUAGUGGCCCCAGCUCUCACCAGACAGCCCCUUACAGGCCCCAGCCUCUAACAGAUGACCUCCAGCUCUGGGGUUCUUACUUCUGUCUCUCCAGACCAGCACAGUGGUCCUUCUGCUCUUACUAAUCUCUGGGUUGCUUCACUUUCUCAGGCCCUCAGUUUCCUCUCUCACCUGGUAACCACUUGCCCGAAUUACAUUUCCUCUAUUGUAAAAACUAUUUAGAAGUGGUUGCUAUUUUCCUGGUUGCCCCUGACUGUGAUAAGAAAAGUUAAUCAUGAGAACUAAUCAUACUUCAGAUAGGGCUGACUAAGUCAUUAUUCUACAAUACUCCCAUUCUGGGAAUUUAUACACAGAUAAACCCACAUACCCUCAAAGGGAGGUCUGUAUCAGGUCAUUCAUUGUCAUAUGGUUGGUAAAGGCAAAAAUGAGGAUCAAAACCAAGCCAAUGUGUAUUGGUUUGGUUAAGCAAACACUGUGACAUCCACAACGCUGUAAAAAGAAAUAAAGGAAACUCAGCAAAGAAGACAGAGCACAGAACAAGUAGCAUGCUAGCCUCUGUGUAAGAGGGCAAAGAAUAAGAAUGUAUGUUUGUAUUGCAUAAAUAGCAAAAAGACACACAAGAAAAUUAAAAAACGUGGUCAAGGGAGAAUAAAGUAGAGAGGGACAAAAGAGGAAAUUCUCAGAUCUCACAGGAAAUUCUUAGAUCAUUCUGACUUUUGAGUCACAUAUAGAUGCAUUACCUAUUGUGUUAUAACACUAUUGGAAAAGGAAUAAAAAUUAUAAAAAUGCAUAGAAAGAAAACGCUGCAACCUAGUCACUAAAUGAUAAACAUAACCAAAUUUUAAUACUUUAUAAUACUGUAGCCAAGUGGACCUUUGGAAGUGGGGGCGCAAAAGGGAUGCUUGGUAAGGAUGGAGUACAGUUUUAAAAUACAUUCCCCACCCCUUGAGUGUGGACUACAUUUAGUGACUCUCUUCCAAAGAAAAGGGCACAGAAAGAGAGAAACCUGGCAGACCCUACCCUAACCAAGGGAUCCAGGUUAAUAUCUCCAGCCAUAAGGCCAUCACACACCCCUUGCCCCAGAUACACACUUCCAAAGUAAGCGUGACAAAGCCAAACAUCUGGCAAACCCCCACUAUGAAACAGCCUACAAAUGCAUGACCAGUAACUUGUUCAAAAUUUCCAAGGCUGUGAAAGACAAGCAAAGACCAAAAAACUGUGACAGAUUGGAAACGAAGGAAACCUGGGGACCAAAUGCAAUGUAAUAUCCUGAACUAGAACAAGGGCAACAGUGGAAAGACUUGUGAGAUGGAAAUGAAGUCAGUGGUUUCACGGACAGUGUUCACUCAUGUUAACUUCUUAGUUCUGAUAAACACAAUUUGAUUAUGGAACAUGCUAACACUGGAGGAAGCUUGGGGAAGAGUAUACUGGAACUUCACACUAUCUCUGUCAAUUGUUUGCAAAUCUGAAACAACUUCAAAAUAGAUUUAAAGAAAAUAAAAAAAUGUUACAAGGAAUAAACUCAUGGCAUUGAGGAACUACCCCUGCAGAAGACUAGGACUUGUGAACACAAGAGAGAACAGCUUCGGGAACAAGAGCCCUGUUGGAAAAUAGAAGCAUGAACUGAACAUACACACACUGAGUGCUAAGACCAAGCACCAACCUAAGACCUGUGCGCCUGGGCUCCACAUUAGGAAGUCUUAUGUGUCAGGGAGGAUACUCAGAGCCCAGCACUCAUUGUUGGUACAGUGCAAUCUAGAACCUUCAAUAUUUCCUUUCGUGAUGCUGACUUUAUUUAGGCUCCUGGGAGAAGCUUCUUCACACAUCUCUUGCUCUUCUCCUCCUAAUAAAAGGGGUAGUCCCUGCAUGGUAUGCAAGUGGAUGGGCUGUGCGCCUAUUGUCAGAGACAGACUUUGCUACCAAGAGAAUCUGAACAGUAAAAGCUCUGGGGUGAGAGAAGAGGCGAACUGGUCUGAAUCCUUCCUCUCUAAGAACAUGAAUGGGAUAUGUAUAUCAAUGUCUCAGAGCAGUAAAUGUCCAUUUUUUACCUCACUUUGCAUUCUAGCUGAAGUAUCCAAUGACAGUCACUAAUUAGUAUACUAUUCCCACUGUUCUAUGUGGCAGCUGAGAAACACUGUGUGCUAUUUAAAUAAAUCA